UUAAAGGAAUUGACGGAAGGGCACCACCAGAAGUGGAGCCUGCGGCUUAAUUUGACUCAACACGGGAAACCUCACCAGGCCCGGACACUGGAAGGAUUGACAGAUUGAGAGCUCUUUCUUGAUUCGGUGGGUGGUGGUGCAUGGCCGUUCAUAGUUGGUGGACCGAUUUGUCUGGUUAAUUCCGAUAACGAACGAGACUCUAGCCUGCUAACUAGUCGAUACCGGCAUCCUUGGCGCAGCCGGCGAUCAACAAUCUUCUUAGAGGGACAGGCAGCUUCUAGCUGCACGAGACUGAGCAAUAACAGGUCUGUGAUGCCCUUAGAUGUUCUGGGCUGCACGCGCGCUACACUGAAGGGAUCAGUGUGUGUUUUCCUAGCCCGAGAGGGCCGGGUAACCCGCUGAACCCCCUUCGUGCUAGGGAUUGGGGCUUGCAAUUUUUCCCCACGAACGAGGAAUUCCCAGUAAGCGUGAGUCAUAAGCUCACGUUGAUUACGUCCCUGCCCUUUGUACACACCGCCCGUCGCUACUACCGAUUGAAUGAUUUAGUGAGGUCUUCGGACCGGUGCGCGGCCACCUUCCGGUGGCCGAUGUUACCGGGAAGAUGACCGAACUUGAUUAUUUAGAGGAAGUAAAAGUCGUAACAAGGUUUCC
rnacentral:rRNA from 1 species